CACACCUUGCAGGUAAACCCUCUUUUUUGCACAAACCUCAGCAUCUUGAUAUCUCAGCUUGCUGUGUCGGGCAAAAUGAGCCUGGUUUGGCCACAAUGCCUCCAUCAUACAGAGACAAAAGGAACCAGAUUCCCCAGGUGUGCCUCUGGUGUGGGACUUGCUGGCCGCUGGCUGUGAGCAUCUAUCUCCCCCAUGGACUGGUGUUCCUUCAGAGACACAAGCAUGGCCUCUUUGUCAUGGUGAAGUCAACUCCAUGCUGCAACUUACUCCAGAGCGCCCCAUGGGAAGGCUGAAGCCAGACGCCAGCUGAAGUCAUAUCACCUGCCUUACCUUCCUUCCCUCUCUCCCUUUGUUGUGAAAGCAUCCCCCCAAUAAAGCAAGUAAAUCAGCCCUGAAUAUUGAUUGGAAGAACUGAUGCUGAAGCUGAAGCUCCAAUACUUUAGCCAUCUGAUGCAAAGAACUGACUCAUUGGAAAAGACCCUGAUGCUGGGCAAGAUUGAA